GCAUCUAAGAGCAUGCUGCUCUUUUUUAGGACUGAUAUCUGGGAGGCAGUACCUGUGUGAUUUUGUACUGCAAGCUCAGUUUAUCACCUGUGACAGGGACAUUAUUUCAAUGUUUGCGAUGGUCUUUGUCAGUAGCUGUGACCAUAUUUUUCAUAGAGAGUUUUGUUUCAGUUCCUGGCGUUACUGCAGCCAAUUGAAUAUAGAAUACAAUUCCCAGUUGUCUUGAAAGCACCAUAAAUCCAGAGAAUGUCAGACUUUGAUGACCAAGUUUGAUGAUUUGCCCACGAAGGACCGCCAUACCACCUUCCUGUUCAAGUGAGCACAGCACAACAAGAAUACUGCCCCUGGGCACUGUCCCUUUUGUGGCCAGGAGGGGCACCAGCAUCCCAACCUGGGGUUCACUAGAGCAAAGGGGCGGCCCCUUGACCUACCGUCUCCCAGGGCCGGUGGUUCGUGGUCCCCGCUACCUAUGCCAUCAGGUCCCUACUGGACUCCCAACGUUGUGGGGGUAGGCUUCAGUACCUGGUGGACUGAGAAUGGUAUGUCCCAGAGGAGCGCUGUUGGGUUGCGGCGGCCGAUAUCCUGAACCCCAACAUUAUCUGCCAUUUCCAUCUCCGCCGGCCCGCUCCUCGCCCUUGGGGCCAUCCUGUGUCUGGAGCCGAGCAUCGGAGAUGGGAAGGGAGGGUACUGUCACGCCUACUCUGGUUCCCCCUCUCGCUCAAUGUCGCCGGUCUACUAACCACCGGUCCUGGCAACCCAUAUUAUGCACAUCUGGCAACCAUCAUUACGAACACCUGCUCCCCAUCGUUAUGCACACCUGGACUUCAUCAUUACCUUGAUUAGUUCCCCUUUAUUUAGCCCUCAAUAGCCUCAGUCUUCAGGCAGUAUUGGUUUUGUUUACGUUCAGUACGCUACUCCUGUUUUGUUUAUCUGCAUGUUUCUUAUUAAUAAACGCACCGUCUGCACCUG
ensembl:lncRNA